GAUCAAUUACUAGAAUCAUAUUUUAAAGGUAUCAGAUAGAGAAGAUUAGCAUGGAUCCUGCACAAGGAUGACACGCAAAUUAGUGAAGCAUUCCAUAUUUUU